rnacentral:rRNA from 1 species
UACGAAGGGGGCUAGCGUUGCUCGGAAUCACUGGGCGUAAAGCGCACGUAGGCGGGUUGCUAAGUCAGGGGUGAAAUCCUGGAGCUCAACUCCAGAACUGCCUUUGAUACUGGCGAUCUUGAGUCCGGGAGAGGUGAGUGGAACUGCGAGUGUAGAGGUGAAAUUCGUAGAUAUUCGCAAGAACACCAGUGGCGAAGGCGGACUCACUGGUCCGGUACUGACGCUGAGGUGCGAAAGCGUGGGGAGCAACAGG